ensembl:lncRNA EWSAT1 Ewing sarcoma associated transcript 1
GAAUGACUGGCUAUGAUGGAAACAGCCACCAUGUUGUGAGGACACUCAAUUAGCCUUGUGGAGAGACCCACAUGGGUGAGAAACUAAGGGCUGCCACCAACAGCCCACAUCCACUUGCCAGCUCUGAGAGCAAAUAGAUCCUGCAGGCCUAGUCAAGCCUCAUUUGACUGACGCCUCAGUCAACAUCUUGACUGCAAGCCCAUGCAAAACACUGAGCCAGAAACCACCCACCCAAGAAGCUGUGAAUUCCUGACUGGCAAAAAAUGCUGAGCAGAAAACCAGGAAAUGGAUGGACUCCACCUCCGCAGCCACGCCUGCCCGUUUGCGCUUACUGAACAGAGGUCCUCAGGAACGUGAGCCCCUCUUCUUGGGCCUGCGAUUCCUCACCUGGAAGGGAGAAGAGUGGACUUCCUGCCUAGAGAACACCUUGGUAAACUCUUUGUGGUUCCUGUCAUGAGAAGGUGUGCAGCUUAGGGAAAAAGCCUGUGAGCUCUGGAAUCAGAUGGAACUGGAUAUGAAUUUCCAUUUAGUGCUUGUUGGAUUAAAUGUGAUGCUACUUCUCCCAGCCGAAAGAAUAAAACUGGUAAGAGGAAGGGAAAUGCAGCCUCAGUAAGGAGGCCUCCAUUCUGGAAGGGCUUCCCAGGCCCAGAGAAGGGAGAAAGUAAUUUGGAACCACCCAAGUAUUGGUGAUGCCAGGCCUCACCCUACCCUGGGGAUAUUUGAAUCUCAAAAAGGGAGCAUGGGAAUCUGACAAAGCACUUGCAUGUAUAAAGAACUCCUCCAAAUCAACAAGGCAAAAACCUCAUUAGAUACAUAGGCAAAAACCUCAGAAGAGCCACAUCACAAAGGAGCACCUCCAAAUGGCCAAGAAGCAUAUGAAAAUAUGUUCAAUCUCAUUAGCCAACAGGGAAUUCAAAUUAGAACUACACCAGGAUGGCUGAAAGUGCAAAGACUGACAAUAUCAAGGGCUGGUGGGGAUGCAGAACAACUGGAACUCUCCUAUGCACUGCGGAAGGGGUAAAUUAAUACCGCCCCUUUGGAAGAACAGUUUAGAAGCAUCACUAAAGCUGAAUAUAUUCAUGCCUACUCCGGAAAUCCUGAGCCCAGUGGCUCCCUUUGAAGAACUGCCUUGGGGUUCAUGUUGCAGCAUCAAACAGGGAUGGAAGAUGCAUCUUGCUUUAGCAGCAGGAGCCUGGAAAGCAGCUGAAGCCCUGGAGGGUGCCUGGCACACAGAAUCUUGUGCUGAGCCCGGAGCACAAUGGGAGCGGGCUGGCGGGGUGGGUUCACAGCUGGACUGGGAGCAGCAGACAUACAGGCCGUAGGCACAGACAUAUAAAGACAGUCAUGCAGAUUGCAGGAUGCCUGAGAGCACAGACUCUCACAUGCACAAAUACGUGCAUGAUCGCCAGUGUGCAUCCAGACAGCCCCACAUGCAUGCACACGCAUGCACACAUGUGAUGUGUACAUAGAUGGACACAUGUCUAUGCCCACAAACACUGCAGAGACACAGAAGUGUCUGGCAAGGAACACUAUUUUGUCCUCAAUUUUCUGCCAGUGAGAGUCUACUGACUCCAUCUCUGAAAUGUCUCUACUUAUUGUCCCUCUUCUCCACCUGCACCACAUCCCUAGUCCCUGAAACUCCCACCGAGACCCCUGGGCAAUAGCAAAGUCUGCACAGGAUUCCUGCUCCGCCUCUACCCCACCCUUAAGCCCAUCCUACAUGCAAGAGCAGGAGUUAUCUGGGUAUCAAGCAAAUCUGACCACAUCACCUCCCCACUGCUUAAAACCCUUUCCUACAGGAUGAAGUUGAAAUCACUUGACAUCCCAUAUAAGGCCCUUGACUGUCUGGCAUCAGCCAUAGUCUGGCCUCAGGCCCUGGCAUGGAGUCCCCUGGACUCAGUGCUCUGGCUGAGGGCCUCCAGGAUGAAGAUACCCUGUGCAAAGCCUCACACUUUUGCUGUUGCUGGGCUCACUGUGUGAAAUUCCCUCCUCCCUCCUUCCACCUUCCCUAUGCUGAACUGCCACUCCUCCAUCCUCCAUGGCCAGCUAAGCCAACACCUCCCCACUUCCUCCUGACAACCCAGGCACAGCCACUGACCUGUCCCAUGGCUGUCACAGCCCUUUCUUGGGCUCUCAAUGGUAUCAUUGUCACCUGUGUGCUCAUGAGCCUCUGCCACUCAACUCCAAGCACAUCAAAUAAAGAGCUCAAAACAU